rnacentral:rRNA from 1 species
AACGAACGCUGGCGGCAUGCCUAACACAUGCAAGUCGAACGAGACCUUCGGGUCUAGUGGCGCACGGGUGCGUAACGCGUCGGAACCUGCCCUUAGUUUCGGAAUAACUCCCCGAAAGGGGUGCUAAUACCGGAUAAUGUCUUCGGACCAAAGUUUUAGCGCCUUUGGAUGGUCCCGCGGUGUAUUAGCUAGUUGGUAGGGUAAAAUCCUACCAAGGAGACGAUACAUAGCUGGUCUGAGAGGAUGAUCAGCCACACUGGGACUGAGAGAGGGACCAGACUCCUACAGGAGGCAGCAGUGGGGAAUCUUGGACAAUGGGCGAAAGCCUGAUCCAGCAAUGCCGCGUGAGUUAUGAAGGUCUUAGGGUUGUAAAGCUCUUUUACCCGGGAUGAUAAUGACAGUACCGGGAGAAUAAGCUCCGGCUAACUCCGUA